rnacentral:rRNA from 1 species
AUGAACGCUGGCGGCGUGCCUAAUACAUGCAAGUCGAGCGAACAGACGAGGAGCUUGCUCCUCUGACGUUAGCGGCGGACGGGUGAGUAACACGUGGAUAACCUACCUAUAAGUCUGGGAUAACUUCGGGAAACCGGAGCUAAUACCGGAUAAUAUAUUGAACCGCAUGGUUCAAUAGUGAAAGACGGUUUUGCUGUCACUUAUAGAUUGAUCCGCGCCGCAUUAGCUAGUUGGUAAGGUAACGGCUUACCAAGGCGACGAUGCGUAGCCGACCUGAGAGGGUGAUCGGCCACACUGGAACUGAGACACGGUCCAGACUCCUACGGGAGGCAGCAGUAGGGAAUCUUCCGCAAUGGGCGAAAGCCUGACGGAGCAACGCCGCGUGAGUGAUGAAGGUCUUCGGAUCGUAAAACUCUGUUAUUAGGGAAGAACAAAUGUGUAAGUAACUAUGCACGUCUUGACGGUACCUAAUCAGAAAGCCACGGCUAACUACGUG